rnacentral:rRNA from 1 species
AUGAGCUCUCGGAUGGCCGGAGCCACGCUGCUGCGCCACCUGGGCCCCCGCCUCUUUGCCGCCGCCGAGCCGGCCUCCGGGCUCGCCGCCAGCGCGAGGGGCAUCAUGCCCGCCGCCGCGAGGAUCUUCCCCGCGCGGAUGGCCAGCACCGAGGCCGCCGCCCCGCAUGCCAAACAAGAAGAUGAUGCCGGAACACCCCAGGCGGCCGCGACUCCAGAGCAGCAGAGCAAGAAGGCCGUGGUGAGCUACUGGGGCAUCGAGCCGCGGAAGCUCGUCAAGGAGGACGGCACGGAGUGGCCGUGGUUCUGCUUCAGGCCGUGGGACACGUACCGGCCGGACACGUCCAUCGACGUCACCAAGCACCACGAGCCCAAGGCCCUGGCGGACAAGGUGGCCUACUUCGUGGUUCGGUCGCUGCGUGUGCCGCGGGACCUCUUCUUCCAGCGCCGGCACGCCAGCCACGCGCUGCUGCUGGAGACUGUGGCGGCGGUGCCGCCCAUGGUGGGCGGCGUGCUGCUCCACCUGCGCUCGCUCCGCCGAUUCGAGCACAGCGGCGGCUGGAUCCGGGCGCUCAUGGAGGAGGCCGAGAACGAGCGCAUGCACCUCAUGACCUUCAUGGAGGUGACGCAGCCGCGCUGGUGGGAGCGCGCGCUCGUGCUCGCCGCGCAGGGCGUCUUCUUCAACGCCUACUUCGUCGGCUACCUCAUCUCCCCCAAGUUCGCGCACCGCUUCGUCGGCUACCUCGAGGAGGAGGCCGUGGAGUCUUACACUGAGUACCUCAAGGACCUCGAAGCCGGCUUGAUCGAGAACACGCCCGCGCCGGCCAUCGCCAUCGACUACUGGCGCCUCCCCGCCGACGCCAGGCUCAAAGACGUCGUCACCGCCGUGCGCGCCGACGAGGCGCAUCACCGCGACGCCAACCACUACGCAUCGGACAUCCAUUACCAGGGAAUGACGCUGAAUCAGACGCCUGCGCCGCUCGGGUACCACUGA